UUCCAAGAGAAGAAAAUGGUUUGAGAGGUGGAGACGUCAUCUAUAUCAUCCCUCACCUCUUAAGAGCCAAUCAUUCUUAUUGUCAAGAAAACCAUCAGGUGAUACCAGUCAUCUGGAUGAACUCAGCGGGGUAACCAUCUCCCAGGACAGCUUUUAAAGCAUCAGUCUGUCUGUGUGCCCAUCCACUCCUGAGCUGAACUCCGCAGUGUCAAAACAAGCCAACAGGCUGUCUGCAACAGUUAGUUACUUACAAACAAUAGUGAAGAUAAAUAUUUAGGUAAUGCUAGAAAAGAAUAUGGAUGUGACACUGCAAACUCAGUUCAACUAGGAACGGUUCCCUCAUGACCCAAGGAGAAGAUACAUCUAAAAUGUGGCAAUUUGCAGUGGGUCCUUUUCAACUGCUCUUGGCUAUCUGACCACAAAACUGGCCAACAGACACAGCUGGGAAACACACUACAGCACAAAGAAAAAAUCAUAAGGGUUGGGAGGAGUUUUUUUCCCCUCUACAGAACUGUAAUUGGGCCUUCUAUUUUAUUUUUUGUAAGCUCAGCUGGGAUAUGAACUCCUUAAUGUUAGUUUGACUUAUGGGAAAGGGAGGGCAUUAGCAUAUUUAUAAAAAUUUACCUUGUUCUGAAACUGUAGACAUGCUUCGUCCUUUAAUUUCAUGAUUAGUGUCAUUUCAUCAUAGGGUAAAAGCCAUUUUUUGUAUCCAGCGGCACAAAACGAAUACAAAUCAAACACAUGCUUUCUGGAAUUAUUCACACAAUGUUUUCAAAAAUCGACAUAGUUCAAUAGUUGAGCAAUAAAUUUUCUUACUAAUGAGACA
rnacentral:lncRNA from 1 species